ACAUGUAACAGCGCGCAAAACUGGAAAGCACGGCGACAGAGACAGAAGUUAAAACUUUAAACUAUGUCACUGUCGUCGUCCUUUCCAGUUUUUGAGCGCCCCACAUCUGCCACCGUCUCGUGUUUGAACUCCGACUGGUUUAGAGGCCCUUUAAGAAGAUCUGCCGGGCGCACAAUUAACUGCGCAGUACAUCGUGAUCUCGACACAAGACUGUUUUAUUUGUGUUCUGGCGACGAUCCAGUAGGUAAACAGACGCGAGCUCUGUAAAACCCGCGAUGCUACGCCGCCAGCUGUUGUCCCGGAGCAGCUGCGUGAAUCACGUGACGUCUGACUAAGGUGCAUUGUUGUCUCCGUCUCACCCGGCGUCUUCGCAAGCACGGUGCGUCGAUGGCUCGCCGAUCGAGGAGCGCCGCAAGUCACAGCCCGACCGAGAUUUCUAUUUUGGGACCCUGCAGAGCGGAUAGCAACUCAAUCUCCCAAUGCGAAGGACAUUCCUGUAUGGGAAGCUGGUGCAGCUCUGUGGAUCAGACUUGAUGACAAUGUUGGCGUGACACGGCCGAUCUCGGCAUGAGCGGUGUCCGACAGCAGCAGCCGGCCUUUCUGUGGGCAGGAGAUGCGCCUGGCCGUGGAAAGGUGAGCGACCAGUGCCUCUGGGCGGCGUGCAAGGCGAUGACCACGGGCCUGGUGCUGAUCGUGAUCGGUGCCUCGAUGGCCACCGUGGGCUUCUACUCCGACCACCUGUCCACGGUCGAGGAGAGGCGAGGCAACAGCACGGUGCGUGUGAAGAACGAGCACCGCGACCGGCACCUGGACAGCCUGACCUACCUGGGGCCCCUGGUCAUGGGACUGGGAGGCUUUAUCAUUGUCGCCACCUGCGUGAUGACCUUCGAGGCCCGCGAUACCUCGUCGUCGUCAGCGAAGCUCGUCUCUGCCUGGUUCAAGAGGAGCAGGUCAUACGUGGCUCCACGACCGGAGAUCAGCUGCCAAGGCACUAGCGCGACCGACGUCUCCUGGGAACGCUUCCUUCCGGGCGUCCGUCACGACUCGACCGUGACCGAGGCGGACCGGUCGGCCGUCACCAGCGCCCUCAUCAGCUUCAGCAGGAACCUGCAAAGCAGCUUCGAGUCCGGGCGCCUGCCAGGCGGGGCCGGGACCCUAGGGGGCGUCUCCUGUGGAGGAGGCGGCGGCGUCACCGAAGGUUCCACCGCCGGCAGUCCCCGCGAGAAGUUGCACCGGUGUCAGUCCGACCCCAACGUCGUCGGGCUGGGACUGACCUGCGGCAGCGGCGGAGGUUCUCCGACCUUCCGCGAGCCCACGUCUCCGCUCAAGAAGCGCGAAGAGGCCGAGCGCGAGUGCUUCCUGAAGCCUCCGGCCAACCCUCAGCUCCUGAGACCCCGCCCAUUCAACGUGUCCCCGCACGACUACCGUAAGGUCGUCUCCGUGGACUGCGCCUCGCCUCCCGUCCUGGACGCCCCCGCGGCCCUCGGCGAAAGCCACCCGGCGCAGUCGACUUCGUCUCACGGCUCCAUGGCCAUGGACGUCUACUUCCCGGAAGGCGCCGUCACGCUGAAGGUCAAGGACCGAACGAAGAAGCAUCAUCACCACCACCACCACACCACGACAGCCGUCUCGCCGCCCACCACCAGCAGUAGGAAAGGAAGCAGGUCGUCCGGUGCUUCGAGCAGGAAACUGUCCAAGAGCGAAGUGGGGUCCGGGGAGAGCUACGGCUCGACCGAGUCCGACACGUCGCCCCGGAAGUCGCGGACCUCGACUCCCGCCCGGAAGUCGGAGGCGUCGAUGCGUCGGGCCUCGACGACCGCAUCGUCGGCGUCGACCACGAGUCCGCGACACAGCCACAGCGAGGCGCCGGGCACUAGCAGAGCAGGCAGUUCCGUCCUGACGACGACCAAGUCGGCGACCAUGAAACGACACCCGUUCACGAGGCAGCAAGCGCUCGACACGCACUCCUUCGGCUCGACCGACGCUUAGAAUGUGACCGAUGGUCCUUGAAGCUGCCUCGACACGGCGCGUUACGCACAAAAAAGGACGCUUCUGAUCUCAACAUCUGCUCGACCAUUGUGCUUUCUGGAUUCAAGCACGGUGACGUGAAUCUCCUUUUAAGUUGCACAGGUUAGAAGUUUAUGAAUAGCUCGCUAGGUGGUUUGCUACGACCGAACAUGAAGAUUCAGUGCUUUCUGAAGAACAAGCGGGCUCUCAACUGGUUGCUACGAAAGGCACGUUGACUAAGGGAAGAAGCACGAAAAGCACAUAUGGUAUCAUGUGCUGACAUGCUUGUCUGUUCCAUAACACCGCACUCGAAAGUGUCAUUCGUCGAUGACGGCUUGUUCGGAGAGCAUAUCAUAACAUAGAGACGACAGGAAGUAAACGUAAGCACCGCCGACAGGUGCCGGUGUGCGCGCUGUCCGUGAGGAAUGCUAUUGAAAUGGUAGAAGUUUACUGUGAAGGAAAGAGCACUCUACAUUUCUUGCCAAUUCGAAAUCUGUAGAGAGACAAGUGCGUUCUGCUAGAGAUGUGUAAACAUGAAAGUGAUUCGACUCUAAACAUCUAACUGUGCAGCUGACAGGCACAGUUGGAGCCUGACAGAAAUCAUCGAGUGUCUGAGCUGGAUUCCAGAGCGCACAACCGGUCUGCUUCUAUUGCGAGUGAUGUGACGUGAACAGCAACAGUGACGUCAGACUUCGCCCACAGGACACACUUGUUUCGAUAUCGUCACCCUUGAGUCAUUCCAUGCCCUUCGCAUCUGCUAGAAUCUAAAGAGGAACAAGUUUGUGUGAUGGUGCUGCCCUCUGGUGCAUUCCAUGAUCACUGUGGACCCUUUACGCACAACUCUACGAAGACUGUUUGCAGUUAACAGCAACUGUAGAACCGUUUUAGGGUUCUCCAGCGUCUACUAUCAAACCUCCAGCCGGAUUAUGGGCACAUUGUGCUGGCAAACGUGUUUGGAGUGAUCAAACAUUUCGAGUCGUUUCUGUGUGCGUUUUAAUCCGGAACAUCGUGGCCGCGGGUACGUGUUCUAUUGUUGUAUUCAAGAAGACAAAAAAAAACCUUUUGCACUUCGUCAGCUGAUUCCGUCGCACUGUGUAUACAAAUGAGAGGUGAAAAAAUACAUUGUAAACGGUUGCGUUA
rnacentral:misc_RNA from 1 species